ACCCCCCACAAACCCUUCUCUCAUCCCCCUCUAUAAAUACCCCUUCUAUCCUCUUCUUCUCCUCUAAAUAAGCCUACACUACCCAUCCCUCUUCCCUUCCCUUCCCUUGCAGGUUUUAGAACUCCCCUUUUUUUUAGGUUUAAUUGUAGAUCUCUCCUCUUCUUUCAAUCCUUCCUCACCGACACACCUACACGUAUGUGUAUUCUACUCUACACUCUCCUAUAUAUAUAUAUAUAUAUAUAUAUGUUCCCAAUUAUCGACCCUCUCUUCUCUUCUCUUCUCUCUCUCUCUCUCUCUCUCUCUCUCUCUCUCCCUCCCUCCCGGGGGGAGGGGGGUGGGGGGUGUGGUAGGGGGGAGGAGGACUUGAUUAUAGAUAGAUGGAUGGCCCUCUUUGUAGUCUUCCACAGCUUUCUUGAACUGCAUCUGUAUAUCCUUCAAAACGAAAAGGCAGAUGUGGGCUCAUGCUUGCGGUUCAAUAAAGCUGUGGGAAAUUACAAAGAGAGACCAAAGAUGGAGAAUUGUGGAUCACUAGCAGCUACCUCCUCCCACAGACGAAGAAAGGAAAAGGCAUGAAAGAAGGACAAAGAGCACCAAGUGAAAAUUUUCUUUUCAAUUUGCAUGAGGGAGGUGGUUCUUUAAGAAUCUUCAGACAUUAGGACAUCUAUAUCUAUACCUCUAUAUCUAUAUCUAUACCUAUACAUGAAUUCUCAUGCCUAAAUCCUAUGUGGAUGUAUCUCCUUAAUUUGAGGGAGGUGGAGGCCCUAAGUCAUUUUUUCUCUUUUCUAAAAAUUUAUAUUUAUUUUAUUUUUUUAAAUGACUCUUUAUUUUUCAUUUCAUUUACUCACAUUUACUUUUUUUUUUUAGUGACUCUUGGUCUACCAUUUAUGAGAAAAUAUGUAAUAUUCUCAAUCAAAUAUACUUAUAUUCUUCUUUUUCUUUUUUA